AACUUUCAGCAAUGGAUCGCUUGGCUCUCGCAUCGAUGAAGAACACAGAGUAAUGUGACAAGUAAUGUGAAUUGCAGAUUUCAGUGAAUCAUCGAAUCUUUGAACGCAUCUUGCGCUCCUUGUUAUUACGAGGAGCAUGCCUGUUUGAGUGUCAUUUAAAACUUCUCAACCACUUGGAGUCUCUCUGGGUGGCUUGGAAAUGGGGAUGUGCAGGCCAGCUAAUGGUCUGCUCCCCUGAAAUGAAUUAGUGGCAUCUGAGCAGAGACUACCACAGGUGUAAUAACUAUUGAUCAAUGCCUUGGUAUAUACUGCAGGUUGUUGCUGCUUCUAAUGACCCAUUGACAAACUUGACCUCAAAUCAGGUAGGAUUACCCGCUGAACUUAAGCAUAUCAAUAAGCGGAGGCU
rnacentral:misc_RNA from 1 species